UGCCGCUUUUAUCUUCUACUCACCUACCCAGAGGUUUUCUUCAUUCUACACAAAUACAGAGAUCAGAGAUCGAUACAGAAAUAGAGCGGGUCAACAUCUUCCUGUUAGUCAAAAACCACUGCCAUCACAAUUUUGGGGGUCAUAAUAUUUUCAAAACCAUUCAUCUCUCUCUCUCUUUCACCUCAAAGAUACAAAUCGAGAUCUAGGAGGCAAUCAGAUCAGUGUUUCAAAUUUAGCCCUUGUUGGUGCAUUUAUGACUAAACCGGAAGCUGGGUCACCUGUCACCAAGAUCCCUUCAUAGAAAGGAAAAUGGAGUUUUUGAUUGAAAGCGUGGAUGAUCUCUCAAUGGAACAUUAAAAGUUCUAUUUUUUCUAUCACAGUCUGUCACGUCAACAAGCCUAGCAAGAAACAUGGCUUCAAAAGUGAAGGGCUGAAAUAAUGGCCCAUGUUAAGCAUAGAAGUUGGGGGGUAUUGGUACUAGAGAUAUUAGAAGUGCUAAUCUUAUGUUGCUAGCAAAAUGGAUGUGGAAACUUAAAGACAGGCCUACGACUUUAUGGGUUAAGGUGGUGGUUCCGAUCAAUGGUAGUUCAAGAGUGGUUGGGCAAUUCCCCCUGAAAAAACGGUAUUUGUGAGAUGUGGAAAGACAUCUGCUCUGUUGAGAAAAGUUUUAUGCUUUGAGCCUUCCAAUUGGCGACGGGGGUAAAACUAUGUUUUGGAUGGAUAACUGGGUUGAGGGCGGUCCCUUGUGGAGGAGAUUCCCGGCGGGUUUUGUACGCGCUAAAAAUAAAGAGGUUGUGGUUUCUUAGUGUAGAACGAUAUUGGGCGAGGGAUGGGUCUGGUCUUAGGAAUGGAAAACGAGUUCAAGUUCCGAAGCCUUCUGGUCACAGUUUGACACACUAGCAGCUUGUCUUGGGGCUGUGCAGAUCAGAGACGGGGCAGACAGAUGGACUUGGGGGUCUUACUCUGAUGUAAACUUCACGAUGGCGGGUGUCUGAGCAGACAUUGUC
rnacentral:lncRNA from 1 species